UACGGAGGGUGCGAGCGUUGUCCGGAAUCACUGGGCGUAAAGGGCGCGUAGGCGGCCUGGCAAGUCGGUGGUGAAAGCUCGGGGCUUAACUCCGAGUCGGCCAUCGAUACUGCGAGGCUCGAGUCGACUAGAGGCAGAUGGAAUUCCGGGUGUAGCGGUGGAAUGCGUAGAUAUAGGAAGGAACACCAGUGGCGAAGGCGACCACCUGGACUGAUACUGACACUGAGGUGCGAAAGCGUGGGGAGCAAACAGG
rnacentral:rRNA from 1 species